rnacentral:lncRNA from 1 species
UUGUUGUUGGCAACUGAAAUUAGAGGCACUGGUUGUACUUAAGCUCAUAAUUUGAAGACCAAGAAGCAACAUAUUGUGUGCUUAGGAUCCUCUAUAAAAAAUUGAGUAUCAUUCCAUGGCUACUAUCAUGCGGGAGCUUAAGUGGGUGAAGGAUAUUAUUUCAAGAUUUGGUAUCAUUCAUUCCAUGCCCAUGUAAUUUUAUUGUGAUAGUUAGGUUACUUUUCAUAUUUCGAAGAAUCCUAGAUUUAAAGAACUUGAAGAACCCUAAAUUCAAUGAACAUACUAAGCACAAUGAAGUAGAUUACCCACUUGUUUGAAAUGAAAUCAAUCAAGG